rnacentral:rRNA from 1 species
GACGAACGCUGGCGGCGUGCUUAACACAUGCAAGUCGAACGGUGAAGCGCCUUCCUUUUUGGUGGGUGUGGAUGAGUGGCGAACGGGUGAGUAACACGUGAGUAACCUGCCCCCUUCUUCUGGAUAACCGCAUGAAAGUGUGGCUAAUACGGGAUAUUCUGGGUCUGUCGCAUGAUGGGUCUGGGAAAGAUAUUGUUUCGGUGGGGGAUGGGCUCGCGGCCUAUCAGCUUGUUGGUGGGGUGAUGGCCUACCAAGGCGUUGACGGGUAGCCGGCCUGAGAGGGUGGACGGUCACACUGGGACUGAGACACGGCCCAGACUCCUACGGGAGGCAGCAGUGGGGAAUAUUGCACAAUGGGCGCAAGCCUGAUGCAGCGACGCCGCGUGAGGGAUGGAGGCCUUCGGGUUGUGAACCUCUUUCGCCAGUGAAGCAGGCCUGCCUCGUUUGUGGGUGGGUUGACGGUAGCUGGAUAAGAAGCGCCGGCUAACUACGUG